GCGAAAGUGGCGGAAUUGGUAGACGCCCUGGUUUUAGGUACCAGUGCCGCAAGGCGUCCGGGUUCGAGUCCCGGCUUUCGCACCA
rnacentral:tRNA from 1 species